rnacentral:rRNA from 1 species
GAUGAACGCUGGCGGCGUGCCUAAUACAUGCAAGUCGAGCGAACAGACGAGGAGCUUGCUCCUCUGACGUUAGCGGCGGACGGGUGAGUAACACGUGGAUAACCUACCUAUAAGACUGGGAUAACUUCGGGAAACCGGAGCUAAUACCGGAUAAUAUAUUGAACCGCAUGGUUCAAUAGUGAAAGACGGUUUUGCUGUCACUUAUAGAUGGAUCCGCGCCGCAUUAGCUAGUUGGUAAGGUAACGGCUUACCAAGGCAACGAUGCGUAGCCGACCUGAGAGGGUGAGCGGCCACACUGGAACUGAGACACGGUCCAGACUCCUACGGGAGGCAGCAGUAGGGAAUCUUCCGCAAUGGGCGAAAGCUUGACGGAGCAACGCCGCGUGAGUGAUGAAGGUCUUCGGAUCGUAAAACUCUGUUAUUAGGGAAGAACAAAUGUGUAAGUAACUAUGCACGUCUUGACGGUACCUAAUCAGAAAGCCACGGCUAACUACGUG